rnacentral:rRNA from 1 species
AUACGUAGGGGGCAAGCGUUAUCCGGAUUUACUGGGUGUAAAGGGAGCGUAGGUGGUAUGGUAAGUCAGAUGUGAAAACCCGGGGCUCAACUCCGGGAGUGCAUUUGAGACUAUCAGACUAGAGUGCAGGAGAGGUAAGUGGAAUUCCUAGUGUAGCGGUGAAAUGCGUAGAUAUUAGGAGGAACACCAGUGGCGAAGGCGGCUUACUGGACUGUAACUGACACUGAGGCUCGAAAGCGUGGGGAGCAAACAGGAUUAGAUACCCUAGUAGUCCACGCCGUAAACGAUGAAUACUAGGUGUUGGGGAGCAAAAGCUCUUCGGUGCCGUCGCAAACGCAAUAAGUAUUCCACCUGGGGAGUACGUUCGCAAGAAUGAA